UUUCAAUCCUGAACCCUCCCACCCCCAAUGGAUCUGAAAUCUCCUUCUCCUUCUCCUUCUCCUUCUCCCUGUGCUGAUGAGAUUGAAAAUAUUAUCCGUGUAAGAGGAGAUGGAUUCAGUUCUCUUCCUCAAGAUGUGGUUCAUCACAUUCUGUCCCCUCUUCCCAUUUCAGACGUCAUUCGAGUAGGAAGCUCGUCGAAAAAAUACAGACAAAUUUGUUCUUCAUCUUCCUCGUUGAAUUUCGUUGCAUUUCCUUCCGAAUCUACGGCUACCUUCGAAAAACGGUCGGAGCUGCUGUCUUCCUUGGACAGCUUCUUAUUACGCCGCGGCAAUCACAGGGUACAAAACUUUCAUCUCGACUGGGAUUGUCAGUACCACUGUGGGAGAGAAACCAACAUCCCAAAGUGCUGGGAUGUCGAAACGUCUCGAGUUUUCUCUUGGAUUCGCAACGCUGUCGAUUGCCAUGUCCAAAAUCUUUCUGUUUCGUUUCGAACUGCGGUCGUACCUUUCUUGCAGUUUGCUUUUGGUGGGAGCCCCCAGACGGAGUUUCCUUCCGAUGUCUUAACAGGUAGAUCUUUGAGGUCUGUAGAUCUAGACAUGAAGUUUGCAACUAUAAAGGCUCGCAACUUGUCUCUCAGUCAUCAUGUAUCUAAUUUAUUACGGUUACAUUUGAAAAAUGUGACUGUCGAAGAUGAUGAGGCGUUUUGCAAAUGGAUUUCCUUAGCCUGCAUAUUUAUCAAGGAUUUGGUGCUUGAAGAUGUGCAUGGUUUAGGAAACAUCGCCGUUGAAAGCGCGUCGAUGGAAUUGUUCAAGGUUCACUUUCCCUCUUCUGCUAGCCUCUGCCAUGUCCAUAUAUCAGGUGAGAAACUUGAACGUAUAGGUAUAACUUGGACUUUUAGGACCGCCCCGUAAGAGCAAGUCGUUGAAAAUUUCCGCUCCAAAUCUGAAGUAUCUGAGAUGGUCUGGGAACAUGAUGAGCCAUCAGAAUCUUGGGGAAUUCAAUUUUUUGGAAAAUGUAGAUCUUGAUCUCGACGAGUACGGUGUAUACUACAUGGACAACACCACAUCACAUCAGUUCCUCUCCAGUAUUCAGGGUGUUAAAAGUCUUACUUUAAACCAGUGGAGUUUAAAGACUUUGUUCAAGGAAGGUUGCACGCCACCACCACUGCUCAAUGUUUCGUAUUUAGGUAUGAGUAUUCAGGACUUCUGUGAUGAAAGCCUAGUCCCAACGAUGGUCACUCUUUUCAAAAGCCUCCCUAAUUUGCAUACUAUGGAGAUAAUUCAGCUCAAUGAGAUUGGAGUUCUAAAUGGUCUAACUGAACUCUCUCUCAAAGACAGGAUCAAUGACGUAAGGAUAGAGGUGUCUUACGGGUUUCAUUUGAUCGAGUUUGCGAGGUAUAUCCUUGAGCGUGCUCAGAUAUUGAAAAAAUUGGUUGUCAUUUGUUCAUCCAAAUAACCAAGUUUGGUAGGAGAAAUAUAUAGAAGCGUGAGUAACUGUAAGAGCAUGUAUUGUAAUGUACUGUUGUGAGAAUGUGGAGUGUAGUCUGAUUCAACAAACAAUGGAGAGGAGGUCAGGUGGAUGCUUUGUGAAGGUGCCGCUGAUUGGCUGAUGCUUUAGCUAAUUUUGGUGCAGAUCAUGAUGCAUAUUACUGGUGGUUCAACGUUUCUUCAUGUAAACUUCUGCUUAUAUUCGUCAUCUUUCUGCUUGUACCAAUUAUCCUUCCAUAUGAUUUUUAUCGUAUGUUUUCUUUGUAUGUGGAGUUGAUUUUUAAUUCCCUUGUUGUAUUACUUGCUAUCUGUUUUCCUCAACGGGCUUGGUUUUACGUC